rnacentral:rRNA from 1 species
UACGUAGGCAGCAAGCGUUGUUCGGAAUUACUGGGCGUAAAGAGUGUGUAGGCGGUGCUCUAAGUCUGUUGUGAAAUCCCCGGGCUUAACCUGGGAAUGGCAUUUGGGACUGCAAGGCUCGAGUGCGGCAGAGGAGACUGGAAUUCCUGGUGUAGCAGUGAAAUGCGUAGAUAUCAGGAGGAACACCGAUGGCGAAGGCAGGUCUCUGGGCUGACACUGACGCUCAUGCACGAAAGCGUGGGGAGCAAACAGG